UGCAAGCUGAUGGUUGUAGAAAAAGAGCUCCCACCUAAUAGGGGACGUGCUCCGGAGGCAAGCGUCAGCUCCUGCUCAUUAAGUGGCAGACUGCUUCACAUCUCCAUGUGUCGGAUUCCUCAUCUGUAAAGCCUCCCCCUAGAAGAGAGGAAAUUCCACAGCUCUGAUGUGAUGUGAAAUAUGAUCUGCAUGCCCAGCACUCUUUCUUUCUCACUCUCCCCGGCCAGUUCCCAAACUGGGUUUCCCUGGUCCCUCUCCCGAGCGGCCUUCUCUGGUCUCCCUCUCCCCUCCUCCCCCGCUUUCCCUCUCCAUUUUACACGCCGUAACCUGAUAGGCUGAAAACUCAGCUUCUUUCAUCUUCCAUUUCCCACAUCCUGAAAGUCUGUGGAGAAGGAGCCCACCCAGAUAAAGGAAUUCCAAAAACCGUUCGGAGGCCAGAAGAAAAGAUGCUUUAUUUGGGGAAUUCCCUGGCAGUCCACCGGUUAGGACUUGAGGACUCUGCUUCCCCUGCAAAGGACUGGGGCUCCGAUUCGAUUUGCUUGCCAAGCAGUGUGAUCAAAAAAAAAAAAAAGCUUUAUUUGAGGUGAUAGGCAAAGAAUGGGUGAAUGGUAGGUGGUAUGUCUGUGGAGGAAGGUGGUUCUGGUAAUAUUUUUGCUAAUAAAUUUCUUGAAUUGAAAUACCCUAUUGUAGCUCCUCACUACCUGGAAAUUAGCAAUUACAAAUCAUGUCCCCUGGGUCAGUCAUUGAGUUGACUCCUCCAGAGUUCUAUCUCUGAUAGGGAAAAGAGGGAGGGGCAGAUUCUUUGACUUCCACCUCAAAGGUUAGGAAAUUCCCCGCAAGCAUCCCCUUUCAUUAAGGAUGGUAAACUAGCUUCUUAUCCAUCCUUUAGGGAGGGUGUGAAAGCUCUUUUGAAUCUGUACCAGCUCUGGGAUAAUCAGUUCCCUAAAUUUACUAAUCAAUGUGUGAAACGUGAU